CCUACGGGUGGCUGCAGUGAGGAAUAUUGGUCAAUGGACGAGAGUCUGAACCAGCCACGUAGCGUGAAGGAUGACUGCCCUAUGGUUUGUAAACUUCUUUUAUAUGGGCAUAAAAUGUUCCACGUGUGUGAUUUUGUAUUUACCAUAUGUAGAAGGAUCGGCUAACUCCGUGCCAGCAGCCGCGGUAAUACGGAGGAUCCGUGCGUUAUCCGGAUUUAUUGGGUUUAAAGGGAGCGUAGGUGGGUUGUUAAGUCAGUUGUGAAAGUUUGCGGCUCAACCGUAACAUUGCAGUUGAAACUGGCAGUCUUGAGUACAGUAGAGGUAGGCGGAAUUCGAGGUGUAGCGGUGAAAUGCUUAGAUAUCACGAAGAACACCGAUGGCGAAGGCAGCUCACUGGACUGCAACUGACACUGAGGCUCGAAAGUGUGGGUAGCAAACAGGAUUAGAUACCCGGGUAGUC
rnacentral:rRNA from 1 species